CAACACCAGGCUCGCUUCUUCAGCUCAUAUAAGGUAAAAGGCAGCGAGGCCUCGGUGGCCAGAGAGCCACGGGCAAGGGGCUGAGCAGAGGGGGGUCCAGUGCAAGUUGCUUAAAAAUGCCCCUGUAGCAUCAAGGGGUGCCAGACCCAAGUGAACUUAGUUGAGAAGCAGUAACACCCACAACCACACCCCAAACAGACUGGGCCUCCACCUCCGAAGAGUCAUCCCUGGACCAGACACCAGUCAAGGAGAGAGUGAUGGCUGGUAGGAUUCCCCCUACACUGGAGAAGAGCCCCAGAAAGGAAUCUUCCUGAGAAGGCGAGAAGGGACAGGAAUGGCUGCCCGGCUCCCAGAACUGAGCUUUCCAACAGUCAGAAGGCAGAGAUCCCCCAGCCUGGAGACAUUUUCUGAAGACACGGGGAAAGGAGAAAAGGCGGGCUACUCCCUGGCAAGCUGCUAAGAGCCAGUACCAAGAACGCCAGGCGCCGACCUGAACCCCCUUCCUGAAGUAAGCAGGCCUCAGGAAGAAGUCAGAGGCAAAACAACCAGGCUUUCUUCUCCUUACACGGGACCCCAGGUCAACAGGCACUGUGGCUCAUGCCUAUAAUCCCAGAAUUCCAGAAGUAGAAACGGGACCUGAGAAAAGGCUGCCUACCCUGUUCAGAAAACCCUGAGAGUACACAUACAUCAUCCAGCAUCAAGGCCACCACAGUCACCAUGAAGCAGAGGUCUUCUAGGGACCCUGGGAUCUUAGCAAGAGCUGGGUGAGUGGGUGGUUUGGGGUGGGAGUGCUCUGCUCACACAAGCCAUGGCCACAGGAGAAAAGGAAUCAUUCACGUGGUUACUCAGUCGCCACUGUCUGUGCGCAUGUGCAAAGUCAUCGGCAGGUUCUAGGGCCCCCAAAUUAUAAUAUAUGGACCCUGGCCUCAGGGAAAUGGAGAGGUAAGCUAGGGUGACCCAGAGAUGAACCACUCCAAAGCCACAGAGGGUGAUGUGGGUUGCGAUUGAUCUACUUAAGCAGUGUUCAACAUGGCCUUGAUUCGGGGGCAGAGGAAAGCCAGCAGACUCCCUUUCCUGAAGGGAAAGUGAAGGAAAGUGCUCCCAGAUGAAAACAGUACCCCAAGAGCUAGGAAGAAACAGAGUUCAAAGGUUGGGAGCGCCCAUGAAGGAGAUGUCCUUGGAUCUAAAGAAGUAAGGGGUGGUUUCUCAGUAGCUGUCAUUUGUCCAGACUGCAUACAGAGACGGAUGGGGCAAAUACGGGAACCACAAGUUGAGCAGGCACAGAGAGGCUAUCUGCAAGGCCCUGGGUUCCAUCUUUAGCACUGAAAAAAAAAAUUAACUGCACACUUCAGAUGGGUAGGGUCCAUCUCAAGAAAGCUAACUUUAAAAGACAAAGGACACGAAGAUGGACGUUUCCUUCCCAGAGGUCUCCAGGGCGUGUCCAGACCAGUAUAGGAGGCAGACCACUGCGCAUGCUCAUUCUCCUGCCCAGGAAGAAAGCCGUGGCCUGAGCGCGGAGCGCCUGUCUCCCAGCCUGAGGUGCAGUGCUGCAUCUCUGGUCAGUUGGGAGUCUGAGAUGAAGCACUGUAGCUCAGGAAGGGAGAAGAUGUUCUGCAGCCGUCGCCGGGACAUGGUAAGUGUUGGUGAGGGGUAGCGGGCCCGAUCGGUUGUCCCUAGAGUCCGCUGCAGCAACUUGUGGUGAUGUUCCUUGACUCAGGCUGUACCAGGGCUGAGCACUCUUAUGCCAUCCGUAACAGUAAACGCUGGUUCAUUCAAUGGCCGCCAGCACCAACACACUGCCUUUACUUCCUCAGCCCAGAGAAGACACUGCUAACAAACAAACAAACAAACAAACCGCGGCAUCUAUCCAUUCUGAGAGGGUUCCAACACGCCCUCGGAAUCCUUCUCAACACUGAAUAUCUACUAUAAAUGGUUCUGCGUUGAAACCCCUUCAUCUCUGUGGAUCAGACAGUCCCAAACAACCCUUAGUCCUAGAGGUAGAGGCGAACGGUCCUGGCAACCCAACAGAAGUGCCACACAUUAGGCUUGGAGUCACUGUCCUCACUCUUUGAGCUCUAACCCUGGUUGGUGCUGUUGCCUCAACCAGUCUGGCAUCUCGCAAAUGUCUGCCCUGUCCCAGAGGCUUCAGAGAGGCAAGGGGCAACAGAGGGGAGCCACUGGGGUCUACCCAUUUGUAUUUAACCUCCCUAGCCUGCUCAGAGGAAGCUGACCCACUUCAUAGAGCAGAGUAUGAAAAUAGAACGCACCCCACGCGGUCUACAGCUGGUUACUCUCAGCUGUAGUGACAUCAGAACCACACACUUCUACAUGUCCACCUGCAGGCCAGAAGAGGGCAUCAGAUCCCUUUAUAAAUGGUCCUGAGCCAGGUGGCUGCUGGGAAUUGAACUCAGGACCUCUGGAAGCGCAGCCAGCACUCUUAAUCGCUGAGCCAUCUGUCCAGCCCCUGACCAUACAUAUUUCUAAGAGUCCUGUGGCCUCACUUCCUUCAUGCUGGCUCCUCGCCCACCCAGUAGGUCCUAUUUGAUGCCACCUCACAAUCGAGCAAAGAUCAGAGUCUAAGUGACCUGCUGGAGGACAACAGUGAGAAAGUCGAUAGAGCCUGGGAACGGAUUUCAUGACCACUGGCCAGAGUUCUCAUGGCCCCAUGGCAAGGGGGAGGGGGCAGGGAGGACUGGUCCCAAAUGCUUCCUGACCUCAGGGGAGGUACUUUCCAAGCCACUCAGAGCUCUGGUUGCUCUCCCCAGAGUAGAGAGCUGCAUCCUGAGAAGUGAGGUGCAUAUAGCACCCCACACUGGCUGCCAGAGCUGGCGCCGGAUGCAGGGAAAACUGCUCGUCCCUAGGGGUGGGCGUGGCACUGCUGAAGGCAUCUCUCUCCCACCUUGUCCUCACGGUCCAGUUUUCCCAGGAAUCCCUUGGAUGCUAAGAUGGGGAUUCCUGGAAAUACUGUUCUUGAGGUCAUGGCUUAACAGCUGGAUCUGCCUCCUUCCCACCCUGACAUUUCCUCCCAGGGAGAAGGGAGGAGGAGGAGGUGCAUCGGAGGGAGGUAAGCGGUCUUGGGACCUCUUCUGACCUUUGUGUUGCUUUUUUCCCACUGCGUCCAUAUUUCCUAACAUCCCGGGGAGGUUGGAUGUGGGAACCUCAGAACUGCUUCACUCUUGAGAAACUUGUCUCGAGUCACAGUGGUUGAACCAGACUCCGAGACAGCCUUCCCUCCACUCUGACCCUCCACAUUCCUUCCCACAGGCCCAUAUCCACAUUAUUAAGAAAGUAAUACACAAAUUUAUUUUCAAGGUUUAUUAAAUCAGUUAGGUAAACUAAGAAACAGUUCGUCUCCAUUGAAUUUGGAGGGCAGCCACAGGAAAAUGAGGUUUCAAGGUAGAAAAUAUGCUAUUUGGAGCGCCCCUGGUGGUGUUUCUUCCCACUGCAGGGACACUCGUGACCCCUGUACACAACCAGGGCUUAAUUAACCCUUAUUCAUCUCUCGCCAGAGAUGUGUCCAUGUCUUAGAGUUGGCUUUUCCUUAGGCAGACCACCUAGAAAGCAAAAGGUAGAACCAGGAUUGAUUUUGAGCCUGGAAUUGAAUGUCUGAGUCAAAAGAAAAAGUGGCUCCCCCCACCUCCCGCCCCAACUCUUGGGAGUUCUGUUUUUUUCUCAGUAAGUCUUUGCUCACUGUGCUAAAAAAUAAAUAAAUAGAUAAAAAUUAAAAAUAAAGCACACACCUUUAUUUGCAACACUUGGGAGGCAGAGGCAGGAGUGGAAGUCAAAACCCUUGAUGAAAUCCAGCUAUAAAAUAGGACUUGGGCUGGAAGGAUGAGAUGGGGCUUACCAGCAAAGGCACUUGACACCAAUCUAAGGGCUUGAGUAGAAGUCCCCAAAGCCACUGAGCUCCCGAAACUUGUCCUCUGACCUCCAAAUGGGUCGUAUGCCGUGUGCAGCAAACGCGCUCACACACACAAUAGAAAGAAAUAAAUGUGAAGGAAGUUCUAGAACUUCGGUGCUGGGGACACGGCUCAGUGUGUAAAGCGCUGAUUUCACAUGCCCAGCGCCUAUGUGAGGUCACACUUACAAUCCUAAGGCUGGUGGGGAGAAAGACAAGAGGACCCCUGGAGACCUGCAGCCAGCCAGGCUAGCCAGGGUUGGUUUACCAAGACUCUGCCUCAUAGAGUAGACAAUGACAGAAAACAGUGACUGUGUGCACACACACAUGCACUCAUGCACACACCCAUGUCCCUGAGAACCACCCUUAAACUGUCCCUAGUCCGGUGGAGGUAGCAAGUGUCAUAGCCCCACAACCCUCGUUUCCAGUGUGCCCUGGAGUCUCCAGAGACCAGGCAGUCCCCAGGGGCUACUAUGCUCCCAGCAAGCAUCCAGAAGACAUUUCUGAAGAGAGACCCCUCCCCCCUCCCGCUCACAUUCGGAGACCGUUGCUGACUUACUCGGGAUGGCAGACUUGCCGAUGACAGCAUCACCACCCUCCACUCUCGGGCUCUUGACACUCUGGGCAAUCCCAGUUCUCACUGCAGACCCAGUGAGGUAGCAGGCAAGCAGCCCAAGGCUGAGAGAGCUUAAGACACUUACCUUAGGCCACACUCAGUAAUUCCCCAAUCCAACAGUGCUUACGAUUUCCACCAUCCUCCCGAGUCCCACCCAACAAGGCUCCCGCCAACCCCACCCGCACAGUGGCUUUCCCAUGGGGGGAAGAAUAGUGAGCCUUCCUCUCUAUGUUUUGUGACAAUAAUAAAGCACUGGACCUUUGAUUUGUGUCAUCUUUCUUCCUGGGAGUAUAGGGGCAAGAAAGAACUUUCCAGUACUCACAGCCAUAACCUCCAAGAGCCUCUGCUUAACAGACAUUUCCACAGACCAGUACAG
rnacentral:lncRNA from 1 species